AUUGAACGCUGGCGGCAGGCCUAACACAUGCAAGUCGAACGGUAACAGGAAGAAGCUUGCUUCUUUGCUGACGAGUGGCGGACGGGUGAGUAAUGUCUGGGAAACUGCCUGAUGGAGGGGGAUAACUACUGGAAACGGUAGCUAAUACCGCAUAACGUCGCAAGACCAAAGAGGGGGACCUUCGGGCCUCUUGCCAUCGGAUGUGCCCAGAUGGGAUUAGCUAGUAGGUGGGGUAACGGCUCACCUAGGCGACGAUCCCUAGCUGGUCUGAGAGGAUGACCAGCCACACUGGAACUGAGACACGGUCCAGACUCCUACGGGAGGCAGCAGUGGGGAAUAUCGCACAAUGGGCGCAAGCCUGAUGCAGCCAUGCCGCGUGUAUGAAGAAGGCCUUCGGGUUGUAAAGUACUUUCAGCGGGGAGGAAGGGAGUAAAGUUAAUACCUUUGCUCAUUGACGUUACCCGCAGAAGAAGCACCGGCUAACUCCGUG
rnacentral:rRNA from 1 species